rnacentral:rRNA from 1 species
GAACGCUGGCGGCGUGCUUACACACAUGCAAGUCGAACGGUGAAAGGAGAGCUUGCUCUGUUUGAUCAGUGGCGAACGGGUGAGUAACACGUGAGCAAUCUGCCCCCAGACUCUGGGAUAACAGUUGGAAACAGCUGCUAAUACUGGAUACGACACGUGAAGGCAUCUUCAACGUCUGGAAAGAAUUUCGGUCAGGGAUGAGCUCGCGGCCUAUCAGCUAGUUGGUGAGGUAAUGGCUCACCAAGGCGUCGACGGGUAGCCGGCCUGAGAGGGUGACCGGCCACACUGGGACUGAGACACGGCCCAGACUCCUACGGGAGGCAGCAGUGGGGAAUAUUGCACAAUGGGCGAAAGCCUGAUGCAGCAACGCCGCGUGAGGGACGACGGCCUUCGGGUUGUAAACCUCUUUCAGCAGGGAAGAAGCGAAAGUGACGGUACCUGCAGAAAAAGCACCGGCUAACUACGUGCCAGCAGCCGCGGUAAUACGUAGGGUGCGAGCGUUAUCCGGAAUUAUUGGGCGUAAAGAGCUUGUAGGUGGUUUGUCGCGUCUGCUGUGAAAACCCGAGGCUCAACCUCGGACCUGCAGUGGGUACGGGCAGACUAGAGUGCGGUAGGGGAGAUUGGAAUUCCUGGUGUAGCGGUGGAAUGCGCAGAUAUCAGGAGGAACACCGAUGGCGAAGGCAGGUCUCUGGGCCAUUACUGACGCUGAGGAGCGAAAGGGUGGGGAGCAAACAGGAUUAGAUACCCUGGUAGUCCACCCCGUAAA